rnacentral:lncRNA from 1 species
CCUGCUGAACCGCCAGAAUCCUGAUGGUGAUGAGAAGGUGCUGCCUUCUAAGUGUCUUUGAGGACUAUACAAGAAGAUACUUUGUCACUGAUGGAAGCACCUGCCUCAGGCUCACUGGAACAAAAUCUGUGGCUUCUCUUGUUUGAUCUAAUUCCCGCUGAUCUUUCUCAAUGCACGACUGUAGCUGUGAUAGAGACUGGAGGACCACAAAGAUAUUCACUACCUGCUCUUUUAUAGAAAGUUGGCAACUCUUACUUUAGAGAAUUCACUUGGAUGGUUAACUGACUUGGUACAUGAUGAAAACCCUUUGGAGAAGCCACUCUGCCUCUGCUCUUGCUCUUGGGGUGUUCCUGAGUGAUCUUAAGCAAACGUGCUUCUUAUCAAGGAAAACUGAAGAAUGGUCAUUCCAGUUUUGAAAAGCAAAGCAAAGCUACUGAUGCCACAGGACAUUCAUAAUAAUGACAGUGACAAGACCUAAAGCCUGAGUAACCCACAAAUCUCAAGUCAGCCUUCUCAUCAUCAAAAAUCUGUAAAAUACUUCCAAUUUGAAAAUUCUGGGAAUCCAGGUUUAGCUUUUGAAACUUUGGAAAAUCCUAUAACGUCUCUGUACAAUUAACCACAAAACAGGUCUAUUUACCUCAAUAGUUUGUUGCAAGAAUCAAAUGAAUAAAUGUGAGAGUGGUUUGAAAGGUGUGUAGAAC